rnacentral:rRNA from 1 species
UAAGCAGAUAGUGAAUUGUGCGGCUCAACCGCAUACCCGCUAUCUGAACUGCUAAGCUUGAGCACGAGAGAGGUAACUGGAAUUCCCGGUGUAGGAGUGAAAUCCGUAGAUAUCGGGAGGAACACCGAUGGCGUAGGCAGGUUACUGGCUCGUUGCUGACACUAAGGCACGAAAGCGUGGGAGCGAACAGGAUUAGAUACCCCGGUAGUCCACGCCGUAAACGAUGGAUGCUA